rnacentral:rRNA from 1 species
AGGACGAACGCUGGCGGCGUGCCUAACACAUGCAAGUCGAACGAGGUCCAUGCAGUGGCGACACUGCGGAAGACCUAGUGGCGAACGGGUGAGUAACACGUGAGGAACUUGCCCCGGAGACCGGGAUAACCCUCCGAAAGGAGAGCUAAUACCGGAUGUACUCACCGAGCCGCAUGGCUUGGUGAGGAAAUGGAUUCCGCUCCGGGGAGAGCCUCGCGGCCUAUCAGCUAGUUGGUGGGUAACGGCCACCAAGGCAUCGACGGGUAGCUGGUCUGAGAGGACGAUCAGCCACACUGGGACUGAGACACGGCCCAGACUCCUACGGGAGCAGCAGUGGGAAUCUUGCGCAAUGGGCGAAAGCCUGACGCAGCAACGCCGCGUGCGGAAUGAAGGCCCUCGGGUUGUAAACCGCUUUCGA